rnacentral:rRNA from 1 species
AGAGUUUGAUCCUGGCUCAGGAUGAACGCUAGCGGCAGGCCUAACACAUGCAAGUCGAGGGAGAAGCCUUUCGGGGCAGAAACCGGCGCACGGGUGCGUAACGCGUAUGCAACCUACCUUUCACAGGGGGAUAGCCCGAAGAAAUUUGGAUUAAUACCCCAUAAUAUUAUUGGAUGGCAUCAUUUGAUAAUUAAAACUGCGGUGGUGAAAGAUGGGCAUGCGUCCUAUUAGCUAGUUGGAGUGGUAACGGCACCCCAAGGCUACGAUAGGUAGGGGUCCUGAGAGGGAGAUCCCCCACACUGGUACUGAGACAGGGACCAGACUCCUACGGGAGGCAGCAGUGAGGAAUAUUGGUCAAUGGUCGGAAGACUGAACCAGCCAUGCCGCGUGCAGGAAGAAUGCCUUAUGGGUUGUAAACUGCUUUUAUAUGGGAAGAAUAAGGCGUACGUGUACGUUGAUGACGGUACCAUAUGAAUAAGCAUCGGCUAACUCCGUGCCAGCAGCCGCGGUAAUACGGAGGAUGCGAGCGUUAUUCGGAAUCAUUGGGUUUAAAGGGUCUGUAGGCGGGCUAUUAAGUCAGGGGUGAAAGGUUUCAGCUUAACUGAGAAAUUGCCUUUGAUACUGGUAGUCUUGAAUAUCUGUGAAGUUCUUGGAAUGUGUAGUGUAGCGGUGAAAUGCUUAGAUAUUACACAGAACACCGAUUGCGAAGGCAGGGGACUAACAGACAAUUGACGCUGAGAGACGAAAGCGUGGGGAGCGAACAGGAUUAGAUACCCUGGUAGUCCACGCU